AUGGAUAGUGCGGAAGAUCGACCCUCCUUGGUUGCGGCGGAGGAGGACAAGCAGCAUGUCCCCUACAGCGACGCUCCGUCUGCGGUGCGCGCCGUGCUCAACCGUCCGUGGCCAUCCCCUGCCCUGAUCCCGCCGGAUAGUCCGUCCGGCAAGUACCGCACACUGGUGGCCACCGCCAAGGACAUCGGGGACCCGAUCUCGCCGGAGGAGAUGGCCGCGCUGGAGGACAAGGAGAGCGACGACGCAAACGCACGGUUCUACAAGGCAAUGGCUCGGACCGAUGUCUUCAUGAGGAAUUACAUCCAUGAACACGGCAACCUGUACAUGGAUGAGAACGACGGGUGCAUGUUCGACAACUCCGCCCAAGUUGAGGAAAUACGUUGCAAGUGUGUCACAGCAGAAGAAAUGGAAGCCAAGAUAAUGAAGCGAGAGGUGACUAGGCAAGAAACUUAUUUGUCAGAACUGGCCUUAGCGAGUUUCAACAAGAGGAGAAAGGUGAAGUUUGAGUUAUGUGAGACAUUGCUUUCAAAUUCCUUCUGGCACAACAGAGAUUCCUUUGUGCACCUCAAUUUCGUCGCAAAGCGGAAGGAUAAGAAGACGCUCUUUUUUGCCGAGAUAGAGGACUGCGGACAGGUCGGCAAAGAGAUCCUGCAAGUACGCUGCUGCGUUCCCCUGGAUUCGCUAUGUGAAGGUGGUUAUCAUUACUACUGUGUUGAUCCUCCUGGACAUGGCUAUAGGAAAAGUCUUGACUUCACGAGGUGCUACGCCUGCACCGAGUUCUUGAAACAUCCGGCCGAUGGCUCGACAUACUCAGGAGGGCAUGACCAUCGGAAGAGGAUGUAUCUAUAG
rnacentral:rRNA from 1 species